AUUGAACGCUGGCGGCAGGCCUAACACAUGCAAGUCGAACGAGUGGCGGACGGGUGAGUAAUGUCUGGGAAACUGCCUGAUGGAGGGGGAUAACUACUGGAAACGGUAGCUAAUACCGCAUACCAUCGGAUGUGCCCAGAUGGGAUUAGCUAGUAGGUGGGGUAAAGGCUCACCUAGGCGACGAUCCCUAGCUGGUCUGAGAGGAUGACCAGCCACACUGGGACUGAGACACGGUCCAGACUCCUACGUGAGGCAGCAGUGGGGAAUAUUGCACAAUGGGCGCAAGCCUGAUGCAGCCAUGCCGCGUGUAUGAAGAAGGCCUUCGGGUUGUAAAGUACUUUCAGCGGGGAGGCGUUACCCGCAGAAGAAGCACCGGCUAACUCCGUGCCAGCCGCCGCGGUAAUUC
rnacentral:rRNA from 1 species